rnacentral:rRNA from 1 species
GAUGGGAGCUUGCUCCCUGAUGUUAGCGGCGGACGGGUGAGUAACACGUGGGUAACCUGCCUGUAAGACUGGGAUAACUCCGGGAAACCGGGGCUAAUACCGGAUGGUUGUCUGAACCGCAUGGUUCAGACAUAAAAGGUGGCUUCGGCUACCACUUACAGAUGGACCCGCGGCGCAUUAGCUAGUUGGUGAGGUAACGGCUCACCAAGGCGACGAUGCGUAGCCGACCUGAGAGGGUGAUCGGCCACACUGGGACUGAGACACGGCCCAGACUCCUACGGGAGGCAGCAGUAGGGAAUCUUCCGCAAUGGACGAAAGUCUGACGGAGCAACGCCGCGUGAGUGAUGAAGGUUUUCGGAUCGUAAAGCUCUGUUGUUAGGGAAGAACAAGUGCCGUU